AAAAAGAUAAGCUAAGUUAAGCUAAUGGGCUCAUACCUCAUUUAUAAAGAUCAUUCUUUUCUUUUUA
rnacentral:tRNA from 1 species